GACGAACGCUGGCGGCGUGCCUAAUACAUGCAAGUCGAGCGAAGUUUUUCUGGUGCUUGCACCGGAAAAACUUAGCGGCGAACGGGUGAGUAACACGUAAAGAACCUGCCUCAUAGACUGGGACAACUAUUGGAAACGAUAGCUAAUACCGGAUAACAGCAUUAACUGCAUGGUUGAUGUUUAAAAGUUGGUUUUGCUAACACUAUGAGAUGGCUUUGCGGUGCAUUAGCUAGUUGGUGGGGUAAAGGUCUACCAAGGCGACGAUGCAUAGCCGACCUGAGAGGGUGAUCGGCCACACUGGGACUGAGACACGGCCCAGACUCCUACGGGAGGCAGCAGUAGGGAAUCUUCCGCAAUGGGCGAAAGCCUGACGGAGCAACGCCGCGUGAGUGAAGAAGGAUUUCGGUUCGUAAAGCUCUGUUGUUAGGGAAGAAUGAUUGUGUAGUAACUAUACACAGUAGAGACGGUACCUAACCAGAAAGCCACGGCUAACUACGUG
rnacentral:rRNA from 1 species